CAAAACACCACGACAGGUUAAACCUACACAAAACACCACGACAGGGUUAAACCUACACAAAACACCACGGCAGGUUAAACCUACACAAAACACCACGGCAGGUUAAACCUACACAAAACACCACGGCAGGUUAAACCUACACAAAACACCACGGCAGGUUAAACCUACACAAAACACCACGACAGGGUUAAACCUACACAAAACACCACGGCAGGUUAAACCUACACAAAACACCACGACAGGGUUAAACCUACACAAAACACCACGGCAGGUUAAACCUACACAAAACACCACGGCAGGUUAAACCUACACAAAACACCACGGCAGGUUAAACCUACACAAAACACCACGGCAGGGUUAAACCUACACAAAACACCACGACAGGUUAAACCUACACAAAACACCACGACAGGUUAAACCUACACAAAACACCACGACAGGGUUAAACCUACACAAAACACCACGGCAGGUUAAACCUACACAAAACACCACGGCAGGUUAAACCUACACAAAACACCACGGCAGGUUAAACCUACACAAAACACCACGGCAGGUUAAACCUACACAAAACACCACGGCAGGGUUAAACCUACACAAAACACCACGGCAGGUUAAACCUACACAAAACACCACGACAGGUUAAAC